GUGUCAGCAGCCGCGGUAAUACGGAAUGUGCAAACGUUAUUCGGAAUCACUGGGCUUAAAGAGUCCGUAGGCGGCAUGUUAGGUGAGGUGUGAAAUCCCCCGGCUCAACCGAGGAAUUGCGCUUCAAACCGGCGUGCUUGAGGAAGAUAGAGGUGGGCGGAACUGAUGGUGGAGCGGUGAAAUGCGUUGAUAUCAUCAGGAACACCGGAGGCGAAGGCGGCCCACUGGGUCUUUUCUGACGCUGAGGGACGAAAGCUAGGGGAGCGAACGGGAUUAGAUACCCCGGUAGUCC
rnacentral:rRNA from 1 species